rnacentral:RNase_P_RNA from 1 species
CAGAUGGUCGCUGCCGCAAAGCCGAAAGGCUGCGGGAGAGGAAAGUCCGGGCUUCACAGGGCAGGAUGCCAGAUAACGUCUGGCGGAGGCGACUCCAGGGACAGUGCAACAGAAAUAAACCGCACGGCCAGUUCCGUGUAAGGGUGGAAAGGCAGUGUAAGAGACUACCGCCUGCCUGGCAACAGGCAGGGCACAUGUAAACCCCAUCUGAAGCAAGGCCGAACAGGGAGCAUAAGGCGGCCCGUCUGCUCCGGGUAGGCUGCUUGAGUCCGGCGGCGACGCCGGUCCUAGAUAGAUGACCAUCCAACGACAUAACCCGGCUUACCGUUUUGCUUG